CCUACGGGUGGCUGCAGUGAGGAAUCUUGGUCAAUGGACGAGAGCCUGAACCAGCCAAGUAGCGUGAAUGAUGACUGCCCUAUGGGUUGUAAACUUCUUUUAUAUGGGAAUAAAACGUUGCACGUGUGGGUUUUUGUAUGUACCAUAUGAAUAAGGAUCGGCUAACUCCGUGCCAUCACCGGCGGUAAUACGGAGGAUCCGAGGUGUACCCGGACUUAUUGGGUUUAAAGUGAGCGUAGGUUGAUUGUUAAGUCCGUUGUGAAAGUUUGCGGCUCAACCGUAAAAUUGCAGUUGAAACUGGCAGUCUUGAGUACAGUAGAGGUAGGCGGAAUUCGUGGUGUAGCGGUGAAAUGCGUAGAUAUCACGAAGAACUCCGAUUGCGAAGGCAGUUCACUGGACUGCAACUGACACUGAUGUCCGAAAGUGUGGGUAUCAAACAGGAUUAGAUACCCGUGUAGUC
rnacentral:rRNA from 1 species